rnacentral:rRNA from 1 species
UGCGCAGGCGGUGGCUCAAGCCAGGCGUGAAAUCCCCGGGCUUAACCUGGGAAUGGCGUUUGGGACUGGGUCGCUAGAGUGUGGCAGAGGGAGGUGGAAUUCCACGUGUAGCAGUGAAAUGCGUAGAGAUGUGGAGGAACACCGAUGGCGAAGGCAGCCUCCUGGGCCAGCACUGACGCUCAUGCACGAAAGCGUGGGGAGCAAACA